rnacentral:ribozyme from 1 species
ACACCUUCCCCGAGGGAAAGAUGACGGUGGAUGCCUUGGAGAUCGACCCGGCAGUGGUCAAGGUGGCAACGGAUGCCAUGGGCUUCCCCAAGGGUGCAAUCCGCGA